GGAGCAAGCACUGGAGGCUGGGUGCUGCUGGACCCAGAUGGGAGCCAUGCAGGACUUGACCAUGGCCUGCACACACUUCUUCCCAGGAGAAGGGGAAUGAGGAAGAACUAGAUCCUAAGAGCAGAAGACAAUCAUAUGUCCUGAGAACCCAUUGGAGGUUGAACAGCGCUGGGUGGAUGGAGAAAGGCAGAAAUGCAGAAUUUCGUCAUUGCCUGGAUGCUGACUUUAUCCAAAGAGAAGAUGCAUGAGGAGUGUACAUGCCUCAGAACUGGAUGCUGAGACAUGCCCCCGCGAUCCCAAGACCACCAGGUACCGUGAGCAAUCACUGGAGCUGGAACACUGCUGCCUGAGGAAGAGAAGAAGUGCAGGCUUGUCAUUGUCUAUGCUGUUACUUGUGGUUCCCGGGUCUUCAGAGAGGAUGCACAAGAACGGGAGAACCGGCCCCUGGGAUUUGCUGCUCAGGACCCGAGUUCACUGAGACAUCAGGAGCAAGCACUGGAGGCCGGGUGCUGCUGGACCCAGAUGGGAGCCAUGCAGGACUUGACCAUGGCCUGCACACACUUCUUCCCAGGAGAAGGGGAAUGAGGAAGGUGGGGGCCUCAAGGCUUCCUUUCCUCUCUUUUUGGCUUGUUAUGCUUUUAUAUUUCUUUUUAUCCAUAUGAUUAUUUAGUACAAAAGCAGGUCCAGCCUCCUUACAUAUGGCAUUGAUAUAAAAUGCAAAACAGAAGCUAAAUUCUAGGAAUACAGCAUUGCAAGCUUCUGACACAGACAAGGAAGGCUAGAACUGCACAGUUAGUGGACACUACCUCUGUAUUGACAUUUUUUUCAGUCUGUGAAGGCGGGGACAGAGAGCUGCAGCCAGGACACCUUCCCUGCUCUGGGGCAACACUGCCAUCAUGGGAAAAUGUUUUCUGUAGACCAGCUGAGGCACACACCCCUCCUCCAUCCUGCUUCUCCUCAGCCAUUUUGAAGCAGGGAGGAUGAGGGGGAUUCAUGAAUGGCGAAGCUUGCCCAUUUUACUGUAUUUCUCUCCUACUGUGGGCAGACUGGCAUCACCCGACCCUUCAGAGUAUUAAUGCAGACCUUCGUGACAGAGGUCCAGUACCAAGUGCGCAGCUGUGCUGAGGUCCAGGGACAGAAAGCAGAUGGGCAGAUUCAACCCCCCUCAGCUGGCCAUGCUAAUCUACUAGCUGGUGUCCUAGGGCAGCAGGGUGCCUCCCUCUCCAGGUUCUGAUGAGAAAACACUGCAGUCCCAGUUUCUUUCGGGGCUUGAAGAGAAGUCAAGGAAGCCCUGCAAGGCACUCACAGCUGAUCAUGCUGUCUGUAAUUGGCUGCCAUCUUCUGCCAUUGCUAGGAAUCAUGGGAAGGAGGACAUGUGGUGCUGUGACUUCUGAAACUAUUUUCCUCAUGAUGGCAGUUGUGCUCCACAAAAGAUCUUUUGAUUGUUUCCCCCCCCUCCCCGCUUCCUGUGUGAAAAAUUAUCAAGGAGAAUAUAGGUACCAAGGAAGAUUGGUUCGGUGAACUUUGCCUGUCCUCGAAUCGGUUCAGGGAUGGUUUGUUUUGUUUUUUGUUUUUGUUUUUUUGUUUUCUUGUUUUCCUUCUGAAGUCAUUCUGAGUCCUCAUUCUACCCUAGGUUGUAGGCCAUUUCCUUUUCUACAGCUGUUCAUACUCACCCUUUUUAGCUACUUAAUUUUGCUCUUGAUUGUCUAGUCUUAUUCAUUGGUUACAAUUUUCACACAGGAAAGGUAGUCUAGGAGCUUCGAAAGGAAAGCUUUUUUCAUGCAGGGUGAUUGGUAUUGCUGAGGGCUAACAACCCUUGCCUACCGUAUCCUAGAGCCUGGGUUUGCUCCCCAGGACUGAAAUGGGCACUGUUUGUCAUACAUAAUUAUGCAGCAGGGAAAUUCUCAGUGGUAAUAUUGUAAAACCAACCAAACAAAAAAACCCCCAAAACCAGUCAUGGCAGUAAGCUGUGAUCAGGAUGGAAUUGUAGAAAAGCAUUCAUGGGCUUCUCUCCUUCCUUUUAGUGUUGCCCCCUCCUCUCUGUCACUAAACCCCACUCCAUGUUCCUAGUGUCCCUCUUUUCUCCUCUCCUUCUAUGUACACCCAAAGGCAGAAAUACAGUUCUACAUUGGCUAGCCUAUAUGUCCUUUAAAAGUGUUCUCUCUCAUGAACAAUCUCUGCUUUAUUUCAUUUCCAAUUAAAUGCACACAUAUACCAAGCUGUUAAUGGUGCUUGCUUUGGGUAAUGAUAUUUACAAUAAAGUUUUCAUUUGUUCAUCCUUGAUGUGAAGAUUGGAAAGGUAAUUGAAGAAGCUGAGCUUUGUGGUU
rnacentral:lncRNA from 1 species